rnacentral:rRNA from 1 species
ACCUACGGGACGCAGCAGGGAAUCUUCCACAAUGGGCGAAAGCCUGAUGGAGCAACGCCGCGUGGGUGAAGAAGGUCUUCGGAUCGUAAAACCCUGUUGUUAGAGAAGAAAGUGCGUGAGAGUAACUGUUCACGUUUCGACGGUAUCUAACCAGAAAGCCACGGCUAACUACGUGCCAGCAGCCGCGGUAAUACGUAGGUGGCAAGCGUUAUCCGGAUUUAUUGGGCGUAAAGGGAACGCAGGCGGUCUUUUAAGUCUGAUGUGAAAGCCUUCGGCUUAACCGGAGUAGUGCAUUGGAAACUGGG